CCUACGGGUGGCAGCAGUGAGGAAUAUUGGUCAAUGGGCGCGAGCCUGAACCAGCCAAGUAGCGUGAAGGAUGACUGCCCUACGGGUUGUAAACUUCUUUUAUAAAGGAAUAAAGUGAGGCACGUGUGCCUUUUUGUAUGUACUUUAUGAAUAAGGAUCGGCUAACUCCGUGCCAGCAACCGCGGUCAUACGGAGGCACCGAGCGUUAGCCGGAUUUAUUGGGUUUAAAGGGAUGGUAUAUGGUGUGUUAAGUCAGUUGUGAAAGUUUGCGGCUCAACCGUAAAAUUGCAAUUGAUACUGGCAGCCGUGAGGACAGUUGAGGUAGGCGGAAUUCGUGGUGUAGCGGGGAAAUGCUUAGAUAUCACGAAGAACUCCGAUUGCGAAGGCAGCUUACUAAACUGCCACUGACAUUGAUGCUCGAAAGUGUGGGUAUCAAACAGGAUGAGAUACCCCAGUAGUC
rnacentral:rRNA from 1 species